rnacentral:rRNA from 1 species
GGGGGGGGGGGGGGGGGGGGGGGGGGGGGGGGGGGGGGGGGGGGGGGGGGGGCGUGGGGCUGGGUUGGGCGGGGGGGGGGUGGGUGGUGCGUGGGGGGCUGCCUGGUAGGGGGGGGUAACGUCCGGGGGCGGGCGCUGAUACCGCAUACGUCCUGGGGGAGAACGUGGGGGAUCUUCGGACCUCACGCUAUCAGAUGAGCCUAGGUCGGAUUAGCUAGUUGGUGGGGUAAAGGCCUACCAAGGCGACGAUCCGUAACUGGUCUGAGAGGAUGAUCAGUCACACUGGAACUGAGACACGGUCCAGACUCCUACGGGAGGCAGCAGUGGGGAAUAUUGGACAAUGGGCGAAAGCCUGAUCCAGCCAUGCCGCGUGUGUGAAGAAGGUCUUCGGAUUGUAAAGCACUUUAAGUUGGGAGGAAGGGCAGUAAGUUAAUACCUUGCUGUUUUGACGUUACCAACAGAAUAAGCACCGGCUAACUUCGUG